rnacentral:rRNA from 1 species
GACGAACGCUGGCGGCGCGCCUAACACAUGCAAGUCGAACGAGCGAGAGAGAGCUUGCUUUCUUGAGCGAGUGGCGAACGGGUGAGUAACGCGUGAGGAACCUGCCUCAAAGAGGGGGACAACAGUUGGAAACGACUGCUAAUACCGCAUAAGCCCACGGUGCCGCAUGGCACAGAGGGAAAAGGAGCAAUCCGCUUUGAGAUGACCUCGCGUCCGAUUAGCUAGUUGGUGAGGUAACGGCCCACCAAGGCGACGAUCGGUAGCCGGACUGAGAGGUUGAACGGCCACAUUGGGACUGAGACACGGCCCAGACUCCUACGGGAGGCAGCAGUGGGGAAUAUUGCACAAUGGGGGAAACCCUGAUGCAGCGACGCCGCGUGGAGGAAGAAGGUCUUCGGAUUGUAAACUCCUGUUGUUGGGGAAGAUAAUGACGGUACCCAACAAGGAAGUGACGGCUAACUACGUG